rnacentral:rRNA from 1 species
UGGGGAAUUUUCCGCAAUGGGCGAAAGCCUGACGGAGCAACGCCGCGUGGACGAUGACGGCUUUCGGGUUGUAAAGUCCUUUCAGCAGGGACGAAAAAAAUGACGGUACCUGCAGAAGAAGCAUCGGCUAACUACGUGCCAGCAGCCGCGGUAAUACGUAGGAUGCAAGCGUUGUCCGGAAUUAUUGGGCGUAAAGAGAACGUAGGUGGCUUGUUAAGUUCGGUCUUAAAGACCGGGGCUCAACCCCGGGAAUGGAUUGAAGACUGGCAGGCUAGAGGAUGUUAGAGGACGGUGGAAUUCCCAGUGUAGCGGUGAAAUGCGUAGAUAUUGGGAGGAACACCAGUGGCGAAAGCGGCCGUCUGGAACAUUCCUGACACUGAGGUUCGAAAGCUCGGGGAGCAAACAGG